rnacentral:lncRNA from 1 species
GUAUCCCUUUUUUCUUUUGAGUUGGCACAUAAUCUUUAUUUGUUUGCACACAAAUUAGUUCAUAGAAACUGUUGAAGUUUGAGACAAGAUACCAUACAAUCUUUAUUUCUUUCUUGAGAAAUUGCUCUUAUGAUGGAGUAUUAUGACUACCCUUAUUAUCCAGUGCCAGUGCUUUUGGGCCCUCUCCUUAUAUGGCACUAGAGAAGUAAGCCAUCAUGAUUUCCUAAAAAAGGUGAAGCCAGCAUUAAUAACAACAACGAUUUUCAACCAAACAGACGACAGUGAUUUUUUCGGAGAUCAGAUAAUACAGUGAUUAGUACCCCUAAUUAAGCCCCAUCUUUACUUCAUACUAACUGGUCAAGGAAAGUGGUUUUGUACGCUUAGGCUGGUCAUAGUGGGGAGUAACUUAGACUAGUAACAUACAUAUGUUACUAAUCUAUGUUACUACCUUCAUAGUGGGUAGUGUCAUAGGUGUGGUAACAUAGUUGCCUUCAUUUAUUACUUUGUAGACUCAUUAUGCAUUGGAAACCGCUAUGUGAUGGUAACAUAUUAUGUUACCCUAUUUGCCUCUCUCUUCAUUAACUACUUGCCACAUCAUCAUUUUUGCUUAUGUGGCAUCUAUGUUACUACCUAUGUUACCAGCCUUACUGCAGACCUUUUUAUCUGGCAAG